rnacentral:rRNA from 1 species
UACAGAGGUCUCAAGCGUUGUUCGGAUUCAUUGGGCGUAAAGGGUGUGUAGGUGGCGCGCUAAGUCGGGUGUGAAAUUUCGGAGCUUAACUUCGAAACUGCAUUCGAUACUGGCGUGCUUGAGGACUGGAGAGGAGACUGGAAUUUACGGUGUAGCAGUGAAAUGCGUAGAGAUCAUGAGGAAGACCAGUGGCGAAGGCGGGUCUCUGGACAGUUCCUGACACUGAGGCACGAAGGCCAGGGGAGCAAACGGG